rnacentral:rRNA from 1 species
GGACCAGCCGAUGGAUUUAUUAAUAAGAAUUGGAAGCAUCUGGAAAGUUGCACCAAAGAAGGUGAUAGUCCUGUACAAGUAGAAAGUUAAUAAAUUCUUGAGUAAGGCGGAGCACGAGAAAUUCUGUCUGAAAAUGGGGAGACCACUCUCCAAGGCUAAGUACUACUGAUUGACCGAUAGUGAACAAGUACCGUGAGGGAAAGGUGAAAAGCACCCCUAUAAGGGGAGUGAAAGAGAACCUGAAACCGAAUGCUUACAAGCAGUCGGAGGGUCUUUAAGGCCUGACGGCGUACCUUUUGUAUAAUGGGUCAGCGACUUAGUGUAUGUAGCAAGCUUAAGCCGAUAGGUGUAGGCGUAGCGAAAGCGAGUUUUAAUAGAGCGAUAAGUUACAUGCAUUAGACCCGAAACCGAGUGAUCUAGCCAUGAGCAGGUUGAAGGUUGGGUAACACCAACUGGAGGACCGCACCCAUAUCUGUUGAAAAAGAUAGGGAUGACUUGUGGCUAGGGGUGAAAGGCCAAUCAAACUCGGAAAUAGCUGGUUCUCCGCGAAAACUAUUUAGGUAGUGCGGUGAGCGGACACCUUGAGGGGUAGAGCACUGAAAGAGCUAAGGGGGAGCGAUCCUUACUAAACUUUAUCAAACUCCGAAUACUCAAGAGUGAUACUCACCAGACAGACAUUAGGUGCUAAGGUCUAGUGUCGAGAGGGAAAGAGCCCAGACCGUCAAUUAAGGUCCCAAAAUUAUGGCUAAGUGGUAAAGGAAGUGAAUUGUCCAAAACAGUCAGGAGGUUGGCUUAGAAGCAGCCAUCCUUUAAAGAAAGCGUAAUAGCUCACUGAUCUAAACAAGACGUCUUGCGCCGAAGAUGUAACGGGGCUAAAGCCAUAUACCGAAGUUGCGGAUUUACACGUUAAAGUGUAAGUGGUAGCGGAGCGUUCUGUAAGCCUGCGAAGGUGUACCGUAAGGUAUGCUGGAGGUAUCAGAAGUGAGAAUGCUGACAUGAGUAGCGAAAAGAAGAGUGAGAGACUCUUCCGCUGAAAGUCCAAGGUUUCCUGCGUAAAGCUAAUCUGCGCAGGGUUAGUCGGCCCCUAAGGCGAGGCAGAGAUGCGUAGUCGAUGGCAAUCAGGUUAAUAUUCCUGAACCGGCCCGGAAGUGACGGAUUGAGUAAAUUGUAAGUUCUUAUUGGAUUGAGCUUGCAGUGAAUCAGUCCCAGGAAAUAGCCCGGGUUAAGACCGUACCCGAAACCGACACAGGUGGACAGGUAGAGAAUACCAAAGCGCUUGAGAGAACUAUGUUGAAGGAACUAGGCAAAAUACUUGCGUAACUUCGGGAUAAGCAAGCCCCAUUUUAAGGCAACUUAAGGUGGGGGGCACAUACUAGGGGGUAGCGACUGUUUACUAAAAACACAGGACUCUGCUAAAUUGAAAGAUGAAGUAUAGGGUCUGACGCCUGCCCGGUGCUGGAAGGUUAAGGAGAGAUGUGCAAGCAUUGAACUGAAGCCCCAGUAAACGGCGGCCGUAACUAUAACGGUCCUAAGGUAGCGAAAUUCCUUGUCGGGUAAGUUCCGACCUGCACGAAUGGCGUAACGACUUCCCCGCUGUCUCCAACAUAGACUCAGCGAAAUUGAAUUCUGAGUUAAGAUGCUCAGUACCCGCGGUUAGACGGAAAGACCCCGUGAACCUUUACUAUAGCUUUGCAGUGGUAUUAGGUAACAAAUGUGUAGAAUAGGUGGGAUGCUAUGAAGCUACGACGCCAGUUGUAGUGGAGCAGACUUUGAAAUACCACCCUUUUGUUGUUUGAUAUCUAACCUGCUCCCGUUAUCCGGGAGAGGGACCCUGCAUGGUGGGUAGUUUGACUGGGGCGGUCGCCUCCCAAAGAGUAACGGAGGCGCGCAAAGGUUGGCUCAGAUUGGUCAGAAAUCAAUCGUCGAGUGCAAUGGCAUAAGCCAGCCUGACUGCGAGAGAGACAUUUCGAGCAGAGACGAAAGUCGGUCAUAGUGAUCCGGUGGUCCCGAGUGGAAGGGCCAUCGCUCAACGGAUAAAAGGUACUCCGGGGAUAACAGGCUGAUUCCGCCCAAGAGUUCACAUCGACGGCGGAGUUUGGCACCUCGAUGUCGGCUCAUCACAUCCUGGGGCUGGAGAAGGUCCCAAGGGUUCGGCUGUUCGCCGAUUAAAG